GUAGGUGGCAAGCGUUGUCCGGAAUUAUUGGGCGUAAAGCGCGCGCAGGCGGUUCUUUAAGUCUGAUGUGAAAGCCCACGGCUCAACCGUGGAGGGUCAUUGGAAACUGGAGAACUUGAGUACAGAAGAGGAAAGCGGAAUUCCACGUGUAGCGGUGAAAUGCGUAGAGAUGUGGAGGAACACCAGUGGCGAAGGCGGCUUUCUGGUCUGUAACUGACGCUGAGGCGCGAAAGCGUGGGGAGCAAGCAGGAUUAGAUACCCUGGUAGUCCACGCCGUAAACGAUGAGUGCUAAGUGUUAGGGGGGUUUCCGCCCCCCUUAGUGCUGCAGCUAACGCAUUAAGCACUCCGCCCUGGGAGUACGGCCGCAAGGCCG
rnacentral:rRNA from 1 species